UGAGGUAGUGCUGGGUCGGGGGUGGGUUCCGGGUGAGCUCGGAGGGCUGGUGGGUUCGGGCCUUUUCUUUUUGCGCCUUCCUCAUAGCUCUUCUUGCCUGAGCGAGCUUCUGGCGGCCGCCGGUCUCAUCUCCCUGCCCGUCCGCUGAGGGGGCGGUGAGGCCUAGUGGCAUGGCCGCCUCUUCCUGCUCAGGCUCGGGGGCCCCGUCCCAAGGUUUUGCUCCGCGUUCCUGCGGAGCUUCCGAGUAAGCGAUGGCCCGGCCGCCUUUCGCGGGGGGGGUGUUGGUUGUUGCCCUGGCUCUGGCGGGGGAGGCGGGAGCGCGGCCCGGGCCGGGGCUCGGUGGUGACGGCUUUUUCCCAUCAGAGCGGCAGUGUUGGCCUCUCACUGCUAAAGCCAGGUCGUUUCUGGUGCACCAGUGGGAUCCACCGCUGUGUCCCAGGCAGCUGCGAGACCCGGUGCUUACGGUUCCCUUUGGCUUCCCUCGCAGGGCCUCCGGGAGAUCUGAUGCCGCAGGGUCAGGCGUACGAGGAGAGCAGUUUCCUGGUUUACUCUGCCAUGCGUGAGCCUCUGGCAGGGCGCAGUGGGUGCUGCAAGGGCUCUGGGCUGUUCAGGCUCUGGGAGAUGAGAUGUGGCUGUAGAUGGCAUUGCUCAGUUGUGUGAUGAGGGCAGUUACCUGGUUUACUCCAACAUGCUAAAUCUAUAGCAAGUAAGAAUGUAGAGUGCUGGGAAGGCAAAUGGGGUGUUGAGCCUCUGGGAGACAACAUGUGGUGGCUGUAAAUGCAGUGAUCAGUUGUGUGAUGAGGGCAGCUGGCCUGGUUUGCUCCACCAUGUCUGAACCUCCAGCAAGUAAGGAUGGGUGCUACAAAGACUCUGGGCUGUCGAGCCUCUGGGAGAUGAGAUAUGGUGGCUGUAGAUGGCAGUAAUAAGUUCUGUGAUGAGGGCAGUGGCCUUGUUUGCUUGACCACAUGUGCCCCUGCAUCAGGGGAGAUCGAAUGGUUGAGAUGUGUCAGAAGUUGUCCUGAGACCUGCUGUGAUUUCAGUGCACUAGCAGAAAGCUGUCUUCUGCUAAUGAUGUCCCUCUCCAUGCUGCUGCCUGUGAUCACUUGUCCAAGCUACAGCAUUCACAUCACCCUGCCAGCAGCUCUGGUCUUUUCUCAGAGCUAGCAGGAGUGAUAAAUUGGGUGUCCUGCCAACUUACAGACAGAGGGUGUUACGUUUUUCUUUCCCUUGAUAUGAGGCAUUUAACUGUCAUGGAUUCUGGAACUUGCUGCAUGUUUAAUGUAAUUGGAUGCUUUUGUCUCCAAGGGCUGACAGCUAAUGCUACCCUACCACA